UGGGACUAUAAAUUAGCAUCCAG
rnacentral:piRNA from 1 species